UACGUAGGGGGCGAGCGUUAUUCGGAUUUACUGGGCGUAAAGCGCGUGUAGGCGGCUGGUUAAGCGUGAUGUGAAAUCUCCGGGCUCAACCCGGAAACUGCAUUGCGAACUGGCCUGGCUGGAGUGCAGGAGAGGGUAGUGGAAUUUCCGGUGUAGCGGUGAAAUGCGUAGAUAUCGGGAGGAACACCAGUGGCGAAGGCGACUACCUGGCCUGUAACUGACGCUGAGACGCGAAAGCGUGGGGAGCAAACCGG
rnacentral:rRNA from 1 species